rnacentral:rRNA from 1 species
UACGAAGGGGGCGAGCGUUGCUCGGAUUUACUGGGCGUAAAGGGCGCGUAGGCGGCCCUCCUAGUCGCGUGUGAAAGCCCCGGGCUCAACCUGGGAAUUGCGCGCGAAACGGGGGGGCUUGAGUUCGGGAGAGGAGCGUGGAAUUCCCGAGUGUAGAGGUGAAAUUCGUAGAUAUUGGGAAGAACACCGGUGGCGAAGGCGGCGCUCUGGACCGAGACU